rnacentral:ribozyme from 13 species
AAUAUGUCUCGAUUUCUUUGUUUGUUUUCUUUCUCUCUCUUCUCUCUCUUCUCUCUCUACCUCCUCUCUUUCAUCAACUCUUGUAAUUUUGAGUGAAGGAGAGGGAG